UCCUACGGGGGGCAGCAGUGGGGAAUAUUGCACAAUGGGGGAAACCCUGAUGCAGCGACGCCGCGUGGGUGAAGAAGCGCCUCGGCGCGUAAAGCCCUGCCUGCAGGGAAGAAAAUGACGGUACAUGAAGAAGAAGCCCCGGCUAACUACGUGCCAGCAGCCGCGGAAAUACGUAGGGGGCAAGCGUUAUCCGGAUUUACUGGGUGUAAAGUGGGCGCAGACGGCGAUGCAAGCCAGGAGAGAAAGC
rnacentral:rRNA from 1 species